GUUUUACUUUCCAAUAUGGACUUUCCUGCAGAUUGUUUUCAUGAAUUACCUUCUCAACACAGCACCUCCACUCUGAUGGGAAAGUCCCAGGGGGAUGUUUUUCCUUCAAAAACAUUGUUGCUUUCAUCCCUGGUCAACCUUGAAUGUACUAGGGUGAUCCAGUCCUCUCCGUUGGAGCUGAUGUCUACUCUGAGUGACUAGUCCCUCUUAUCAGCCUAAUGGGUAGGCCUGGCAAUUCUUCUCUCUGGUAUCUACAAGAAUAAACACUUUAUGGCCAAAGGCAUUGUCUUCACAAUUACAGGAAACACAUUCCCCAGAUAAAGAGAGGCAAGGAAAAGCUCACAUUUUACUGAGGAUCACUGGAGGACGAAGCAGCAUUUCUCAGCAUUGUAUAGUAAAUCACACAGCUCGCAGCCUUUGAGCCAUGAAACGCAUGCUGCUGCUUGCCAUGAUUGCGCACAACCGGCCAUUGGUAAUGUAAUGUGGAAAACCUCAUUUCCAAAAUGAAAACCUGCCUUGCUCAAUAAAAUACGGCCCCGUGAGUGAGCAUUGGCAAGGGAGUAUUUAUCAGCUUUUAAUGCUCCCCUGGCAGGCCAGCACAACAGCCUGAGAAAAUAAAGGACAAAAGA